rnacentral:rRNA from 1 species
ACGCUGGCGGCGUGCCUAACACAUGCAAGUCGAACGGUAACAGGGACUUCGGUCCGCUGACGAGUGGCGCACGGGUGAGUAACGCGUGGAUAUCUGCCUAUUAGUGGGGGACAACUACGGGAAACCGUAGCUAAUACCGCAUAAUCUCUACGGAGGAAAGCAGGGGACCUUUCGGGGCCUUGUGCUGAUAGAUGAGUCCGCGUCUGAUUAGCUAGUUGGUGGGGUAAAGGCCUACCAAGGCGAUGAUCAGUAACUGGUUUGAGAGGAUGAUCAGUCACACUGGAACUGAGACACGGUCCAGACUCCUACGGGAGGCAGCAGUGGGGAAUAUUGCACAAUGGGGGAAACCCUGAUGCAGCGACGCCGCGUGCGGGAAGAAGGCCUUCGGGUUGUAAACCGCUUUCAAUUGGGAAGAAGAGAUGAGUACUAAUAUUGCUCUGAUUUGACGGUACCUUUAGAAGAAGCACCGGCUAAUUUCGUGCCAGCAGCCGCGGUAAUACGAAAGGUGCAAGCGUUGUUCGGAUUUACUGGGCGUAAAGAGAUCGUAGGUGGUUUAUUAAGUCGGAUGUGAAAUCCCGGGGCUCAACCCCGGAACUGCAUUCGAUACUGGUAGACUAGAGUUUGGGAGGGGUAAGCGGAAUUCCGUGUGUAGCAGUGAAAUGCGUAGAUAUACGGAGGAACACCUGAGGCGAAGGCGGCUUACUGGACCAAUACUGACACUGAGGAUCGAAAGCGUGGGUAGCAAACAGGAUUAGAUACCCUGGUAGUCCACGCCCUAAACGAUGUCAACUAGCCGUUGCGGGUAUCGACCCCUGCAGUGGCGAAGCUAACGCGAUAAGUUGACCGCCUGGGGAGUAC